rnacentral:lncRNA from 1 species
CAAAAAUUAUGGUACCAAUUGCAUUCUUCUCCAAAUAAUUUCUAGUUUCUAAUUUUGAUUUUUAAUAUUUUUUAUUUCAUCAUUUGAUAUUUUUUGUGAAUUUUCUCUUUUCUGGUUAUUUUUAAUUCAUUUUAAAUAGUUUUUGAUAUUCAAAAAAUACAAAAAUAUUUUCCUAACCUAUUUGAAUGAUGAUGGAUCUAUGAAAAAUAUUAUCAUUAAUUUUUU